CGGGCAAGUCAGUCUGAUGUGAAAUUCCGAAGCUCAACUUCGGAGCUGCAUUUGAAACUGCUUGCCUUGAGGGUAGACGGGGAAACGGAAUUCCACAUGUAGCGGUGAAAUGCGUAGAUAUGUGGAAGAACACCUGUGGCGAAAGCGGUUUUCUAGUUUAUUCCUGACGCUGAGGCGCGAAAGCAAGGGUAGCAAACAGGAUUAGAUACCCUGGUAGUCCACGCCGUAAACGAUGAUUACUCGGUAUUGGCUUCGGUCAGUGCCCAAGCGAAAGUGAUAAGUGUUCCGCCUGGGGAGUACGCACGCAAGUGUGAAACUCAAAGGAAUUGACGGGGGCCCGCACAAGCGGUGGAGUAUGUGGUUUAAUUCGAUGCAACGCGAAGAACCUUACCAGGGUUUGACAUCCUGCGAACCUCUUGGAAACGAGAGGGUGCCUUCGGGAACGCAGUGACAGGUGGUGCAUGGCU
rnacentral:rRNA from 1 species